CUUACUACUUGGAUAACCGUGGUAAUUCUAGAGCUAAUACAUGCUGAAAAUCCCGACUUCGGAAGGGAUGUAUUUAUUAGAUUAAAAACCAAUGCCCUCUGGGCUCCUUGGUGAUUCAUGAUAACUCUUCGAAUCGCAUGGCCUUGCGCCGGCGAUGGUUCAUUCAAAUUUCUUCCCUAUCAACUUUCGAUGUUUGGGUAUUGGCCAAACAUGGUCGCAACGGGUAACGGAGGGUUAGGGCUCGACCCCGGAGAAGGAGCCUGAGAAACGGCUACUACAUCCAAGGAAGGCAGCAGGCGCGCAAAUUACCCAAUCCCGAUUCGGGGAGGUAGUGACAAUAAAUACUGAUACAGGGCUCUUUUGGGUCUUGUAAUUGGAAUGAGUACAAUUUAAAUCCCUUAACGAGGAACAAUUGGAGGGCAAGUCUGGUGCCAGCAGCCGCGGUAAUUCCAGCUCCAAUAGCGUAUAUUAAAGUUGUUGUGGUUAAAAAGCUCGUAGUUGAACCUUGGGCCUGGCUGGCCGGUCCGCCUCACCGCGUGUACUGGUCCGGCCGGGCCUUUCCCUCUGUGGAACCUCAUGCCCUUCACUGGGUGUGGCGGGGAAACAGGACUUUUACUUUGAAAAAAUUAGAGUGCUCCAGGCAGGCCUAUGCUCGAAUACAUUAGCAUGGAAUAAUGAAAUAGGACGCGUGGUUCUAUUUUGUUGGUUUCUAGGACCGCCGUAAUGAUUAAUAGGGACAGUCGGGGGCAUCAGUAUUCAAUUGUCAGAGGUGAAAUUCUUGGAUUUAUUGAAGACUAACUACUGCGAAAGCAUUUGCCAAGGAUGUUUUCAUUAAUCAGGAACGAAAGUUAGGGGAUCGAAGACGAUCAGAUACCGUCGUAGUCUUAACCAUAAACUAUGCCGACUAGGGAUCGGACGAUGUU
rnacentral:rRNA from 1 species